rnacentral:tRNA from 1 species
GCCUUCGUAGUGCAACUGGAAGCACGUUCGGCUAUGAAUCGGGAAGUCCCCGAGCUCGAUUCCCAGCGAAGGCU